AAGACUAUAGACCUGCGGAGUACCUGCGGAAGGAUCAUUACAGAGUUGCAAAACUCCCUAAACCAUUGUGAACGUUACCUAAACCGUUGCUUCGGCGGGCGGCGCGCCCUCGCGCGCGCCCCUGGGCCCCACCGCGGGCGCCCGCCGGAGGUCACCAAACUCUUGAUAUUAAUUGGCCUCUCUGAGUCUUCUGUACUGAAUAAGUCAAAACUUUCAACAACGGAUCUCUAGAUCGGAAGA
rnacentral:misc_RNA from 1 species